GUCCUCCGUAGGGGUAACCUGCGGAGGGAUCAUUACACAAAUAUGAAGGCGGGCUGGAACCUCUCGGGGUUACAGCCUUGCUGAAUUAUUCACCCUUGUCUUUUGCGUACUUCUUGUUUCCUUGGUGGGUUCGCCCACCACUAGGACAAACAUAAACCUUUUGUAAUUGCAAUCAGCGUCAGUAACAAAUUAAUAAUUACAACUUUCAACAACGGAUCUCUUGGUUCUGGCAUCGAUGAAGAACGCAGCGAAAUGCGAUAAGUAGUGUGAAUUGCAGAAUUCAGUGAAUCAUCGAAUCUUUGAACGCACAUUGCGCCCUUUGGUAUUCCAAAGGGCAUGCCUGUUCGAGCGUCAUUUGUACCCUCAAGCUUUGCUUGGUGUUGGGCGUCUUGUCUCUAGCUUUGCUGGAGACUCGCCUUAAAGUAAUUGGCAGCCGGCCUACUGGUUUCGGAGCGCAGCACAAGUCGCACUCUCUAUCAGCAAAGGUCUAGCAUCCAUUAAGCCUUUUUUUCAACUUUUGACCUCGGAUCAGGUAGGGAUACCCGCUGAACUUAAGCAUAUCAAUAAGCNGGAGGAAACUC
rnacentral:rRNA from 1 species